rnacentral:tRNA from 1 species
GGAGGUAGCUCAGUGGUAGAGUGCUUGCUUAGCAUGUGUGAGGACCUGGGUUCAAUCCCCAGCACUGCA